GGUUUUGUUGGUGGGUGUUCCUUGAGCGCAUGAAGCAGCCUAUUUGAGGGAGCUUUUAAUUUGGAGCGAAAUUUCUGGAAACCCUCCUCUGUCGUCUCAAUCACUCCAAAGCUCGAGGGUCUCUGAAACAUUGAGAGAGAGAGAAAAAAAAGCACAAAAUCAACAGGGAGAAAAAGAAACAAAGGGCCAGCUGCAGCUGACGCACGAGGCAUCCAGUGCAGAGAUGACGGCUGAAGCAGACCCAGCUUAGGGAAUGUGAAUCCUGGAGGCUUUUGCCUCUGGGCCCCACUGUGGUUCCUGCCUCGAGUUCCUGCCUCGCUUCUCCUGAGGAAGGACUAAAAGCCUUCAGCUCUGAGAUGCCUAGGACCUCAAGCAGCAGAAGAUUAGAAAUGUCUGAACCCCUGCCAGGCGUGGUGGUGCACGCCUUUAAUCCCAGCACUCGGGAACCAGAGGCAGGCGGAUUUCUGAGUUCGAAGCCAGCCUGGUCUACAGAGUGAGUUCCAGGACAGC
ensembl:antisense Uchl1os ubiquitin carboxy-terminal hydrolase L1, opposite strand